GGUAGUGUGGCCGAGCGCUCUAAGGCGCUGGAUUGAGGCUCCAGUCUCCACGGAGGCGUGGGUUAGAAUCCCACCACUGUCA